UACGUAGGGUCCGAGCGUUGUCCGGAAUUAUUGGGCGUAAAGGGAGCGUAGGCGGAUAGUUUAGUCAGAGGUGAAAGCCCAGGGCUCAACCUUGGAAUUGCCUUUGAUACUGGCUAUCUUGAGUAUGGGAGAGGUGUGUGGAACUCCGAGUGUAGAGGUGAAAUUCGUAGAUAUUCGCAAGAACACCAGUGGCGAAGGCGGCUCACUGGCCCAUAACUGACGCUGAGGCACGAAAGCGUGGGGAGCAAACAGGG
rnacentral:rRNA from 1 species